rnacentral:rRNA from 1 species
CGUGGGUAACCUGCCCAAGAGAUCGGGAUAACACCUGGAAACAGAUGCUAAUACCGGAUAACAACAGAUGAUGCCUAUCAACUGUUUAAAAGAUGGUUCUGCUAUCACUCUUGGAUGGACCUGCGGUGCAUUAGCUAGUUGGUAGGGUAACGGCCUACCAAGGCGAUGAUGCAUAGCCGAGUUGAGAGACUGAUAGGCCACAUUGGGACUGAGACACGGCCCAAACUCCUACGGGAGGCAGCAGCC